rnacentral:tRNA from 1 species
GGGCCCGUAGCUCAGCCAGGCAGAGCGCCGGGCUCCAGACCGGCACCUCCGGUCCAGGCGCCGGGUCUGUCGAAAACGGGAUGAGAGGGAGAGACCCGGAGGUCGGGGGUUCAAAUCCCCCCGGGCCCA